rnacentral:rRNA from 1 species
UACGAAGGGGGCUAGCGUUGCUCGGAAUCACUGGGCGUAAAGCGCACGUAGGCGGCUUUUUAAGUCAGGGGGUGAAAUCCUGGAGCUCAACUCCAGAACUGCCUUUGAUACUGGGAGCUUUGAGUCCGGGAGAGGUGAGUGGAACUGCGAGUGUAGAGGUGAAAUUCGUAGAUAUUCGCAAGAACACCAGUGGCGAAGGCGGCUCACUGGCCCGGUACUGACGCUGAGGCGCGAAAGCGUGGGGAGCAAACAGG